GGAUUUGCACAUCGGUCGUGCCUUAAGGGGUAUGAACUGGUGUAGUGAAUUUCUCACCUUCUGGAGAACCGUGAUGUCCUUAAUUGGGUGCCACGAGGAACCAGGACCUUUACUUUGAAAAAUUAGAGUGUUUAAAGCAGGCAUUUUUGCUUGAAUACAUUAGCAUGGAAUAAUAAAAUAGGACGGCAUGAUUCUAUUUGUUGGUUUCUAGGAUCACCGUAAUGAUUAAUAGGGAUAGUUGGG
rnacentral:rRNA from 1 species